GAAGAUCUUUCUUUCACUCUUCCCCUAUCUGUGACAGCAAGGAAGGCCUAUCCCUGUGUCAGAAAGCAAUCAGCGUCAUUAUCCUCUAGCCAGAGCCAGGAAAGGCAAGGGGCUACCCAGUGGCCUCAUCUAGGAGGGUGGAUGGGACUGUAUCCUAUGCAGAAAUCACAGAAAACAGUCACUGCCUUGUUUCCCACAGCACGAGAUAAGACCGGGGCAGCCUGUCCACGCUGUGGCUCAGGAAAUCAGCACCUGAAAUGGGAGCCUCAACUCCAUGGCCCCAGAUGAACCAGGCCUGUUAGGUCCUGUUAUAUUUCCUCAAUGCCUUUUCCACAACGAAGUGAGUCUUAGGCAGCCCCCAGAAGCCUGGCUGCUACCAGAGUUGUCAGAGUCAGAGCCUGGGCCCUGGUAUCCCUAACAUCCUGGCUCAGCCACUCGUCCUCUACAGGCCCAAGGUCAAACAGACAGGUUGUGUAAAAUGCUCUGUCACGUGUCACAACUGAGUGGAUUAUCUCCCUGGAGACCAGUUCCCCCUCUGGCCAGCACUGAUCUUCAGUCGCUUCCUUCAUCCAGAGAGAAGCUAUCGGACUCCCUGGAGGGACCAGGAAAAGAGCAGAAACAUGAAGUGGAUGGGGUGGGAGAUGCUAGGGGAUGGCGGAUCCCAUGGGAACCAAGUGCGAAUGCUGUUCAGGGAUUGAUAAGCUGCUUAGCCUCAGUUGAUUGUCACUACGUCUGAAUGACUCUGGGGUUUAUUUAGGUUUUUAAGUAGAGCCAUAUAUCUGGUGUGUGUGUGCGCGUGUGCAUGUGCAUGUGUGUGGAGGUGCACAUGAGGAGUACGUUCGCACAAGUGUGUGAGUGUUCACGGAGAGCAGAGGUCAGCUCUAGGUGUCAUUCCUCAAAUACCAUUCGCCU
rnacentral:sRNA from 1 species